ACGUAGGGGGCUAGCGUUGUCCGGAUUCAUUGGGCGUAAAGAGCUCGUAGGCGGCUUGGCAAGUCAGGUGUGAAAUCUCUGGGCUCAACUCAGAGAGGCCACCUGAUACUGCUAUGGCUAGAGUCCGGUAGGGGACCAUGGAAUUCCUGGUGUAGCGGUGAAAUGCGCAGAUAUCAGGAGGAACACCAGUGGCGAAGGCGGUGGUCUGGGCCGGUACUGACGCUGAGGAGCGAAAGCGUGGGGAGCGAACAGGA
rnacentral:rRNA from 1 species